CACUCCUGCGGGAGGCAGCAGUGGGGAAUUUUGGACAAUGGGCGAAAGCCUGAUCCAGCAAUGCCGCGUGAGUGAAGAAGGCCUUCGGGUUGUAAAGCUCUUUUGUCAGGGAAGAAACGGUGAAAGCUAAUAUCUUUUGCUAAUGACGGUACCUGAAGAAUAAGCACCGGCUAACUACGUGCCAGCAGCCGCGGUAAUACGUAGGGUGCAAGCGUUAAUCGGAAUUACUGGGCGUAAAGCGUGCGCAGGCGGUUUUGUAAGUCUGAUGUGAAAUCCCCGGGCUCAACCUGGGAAUUGCAUUGGAGACUGCAAGGCUAGAAUCUGGCAGAGGGGGGUAGAAUUCCACGUGUAGCAGUGAAAUGCGUAGAUAUGUGGAGGAACACCGAUGGCGAAGGCAGCCCCCUGGGUCAAGAUUGACGCUCAUGCACGAAAGCGUGGGGAGCAAACAGGAUUAGAUACCCGGGUAGUCCCAUGAU
rnacentral:rRNA from 1 species